rnacentral:lncRNA from 1 species
GGGCCGGGCUGGGCAGCCGCGAGGUGGGCGAGCUGGCAGGGGUGCUUGUGGCCUUGGGAAGGGCCAGGGUCGCGAUCAGUGGGACAUGCCACCCCCGUUUUAGGAGAACUUGUAUUUGGUUUGAGAAGGAAUUGGAAUCACGGCGUUAUCCUACCUUCACCAUUUACCCCUGAUAAAUUGUCCACGUUUAUAUUUGGGAAUCAUAUUGACAGGUCAUGAAAAUGAGACCAAAAGAUCUCUGGAAGCGAUUAAUGAUAAAAUUUCAUGGAGAAGAAGGCCUUGACUACGGAGGGGUUGCCAGGGUGAUGACAACUCCGUGAGGGUGGAGAUUAUACAUCUCUCAUCAUUUCAGCAACAAGGAAAUAAAUUAGUGGCAGAGUAAGGGUGACUUGAGAUCUCUUGGAAGCGAGGAUCCUUUAAAAAUCCUGGAAUAUACACUGCAGUAAAAGAACAAAGCAUACCUCAGCCUUAAACGACUGAAGAAGAAUGUCAAGUGGGGAAGUGGCUUUGGUUUUCAGUUUGUGGGUUCUGAAUCCACACAAAGACAGGAUUGCUUUCUGAAAACCUGAAUUAAUUAUUGUCCUUACCUCAAUAAGACAAAAAAUUAGAAUCAAAAUCGUUAGUAUUACAGUCACAGAUAUCACCAAGAUUAGUUUGUUGUUAUAGCCAUAUCCUGGAACUUCUUUCGUGAGCUAAAAAAAAAAAAAAAGAAAAAAGGAAAGAACAAUUAAAAAAAGAGUGAAAGCUAACUUUUCAAAACCCCAGUAUUCUAGUUGAGUAGCUUACAGGUUCUUUUUUUUUUUUUUUUGAGACAGGGUCUCACUCUGUCACCCAGGCUGGAGUACAGUGGUGUGAUCACAGUUCACUGCAGACUCGACCUCCCUGGGCUCAGGUGAUCCUCCCACCUCAGCCUCUAGAGUAGCUGGAAUUAUAGGCACAAGUCACCACACCCAACUAAUUUUUGUAUUUUUUGUGAAGAUAGGGUUUCACUAUAUUGGUCAAGCUGGUCUCAAACUCCUCUGACUUCAAGUGAUCUACCCACCUCGGCCUCCCAAAGUGCUGGGUUUACAGGCGUGAGCUACCAUGCCCAGCCUACAGUUCAUCCUGUGCACUAAUCUGUUUCACUCUCUAAAUGAACAAAGUGGGAGAUCACUGUCAUGGCCAAAGUUACAUGGCCAAGACAAACUAUGGCCUGGGAGUCCCAGGUUCUCCUGUGUGGGCACUUUCCUGGCAUAUGCUAAAUGAUGGGAAAGUCUGGGUCUCAUGUUUCUGUGUGGUCCUCACCUCACUCGACUUCUGCUCUUUCUGUUCACUCUGGGCUUCUGUGCUUUCAUUAAUAUAGUUCUUAGUUUUCCACUGGUCUGUAUCCCAUUCUGCCUUGGACGCCUUUACUUCCUGCUGCUCACUGAGAAGCCUCAUCAGGAGGCCUGUCCUGGAGAUGAGCUUGGCACAGGUCACUUGCACAUAGGUCUCGGAGCAGUCCGUCUUCAAGGUCCAGAUAACAUGAGAAAUGAAGCUUCUCACAUCGUUGUUGGGGAUGACGGACUGUAGUUGAUGGGUUAGCGGAAUUUCAAACUGAUCACCUGGGGAUGAGAGCAAUGGGUAACUGAAGCUUUUGGGCUCGGGGGACAGGUCAGUGCCCACGUUGUUGUAUUCCCAUUUUGUCUCAGUUUGUUUAACAGUUGGCUCUAAGUUGAAUGCAGUCCUAGUGGGAAUCUGCCUCAGGAAGAUGAUUGUAGUUUGUGUUUUCAGAGAUGGUGCCUUCUGGCAUAGUAGUGUUUUCCAUAAAAACGUUUUCUUCAGAGGCAUUUCUUGCAGUUGUGUUUUUUACAGUAGUGUUUUCUAUAAAACAUUCUGAAGGAGCAAAUACUUCUGGAAAAGGGUUUUCUUGAGGACUCAGGUCUCCUGAGGAUGAAAAAGCCCCUUGUGAAGGGGAAUUUAUGAGGCUCUUCACUGCAGAGAACGGCGGCCUCUUUGCGAGCAUCAGUCUAUUGAGAUAACUUUUCUUUCUCAAUUUUCUAAUCUUUUUGGCCUUGGGUGUUCUGUGGGCCACACGGGAGUGAGUUUUAUGAAAGUGGUAUUUUUUUCUGGAAUGUACUACUCGUUUAGCAGCCUUCAUAUUUUUUAACUCUAGCCUUUGCAUUUUCUAAAAUUAAAAUGGUGUAGGCUAAGUCUUUCAAUCUGUCUAUGACCUGAGGUAGGGCUUUUGCAGUUGUGGAAGGCAGAAGGCAUGCCCAUGGAGAAGGGUUUCAGCAAAGAGGAGACUGUUGGCUUCUGCUCUUGGGUGAAUGAAGGCUUGGUGUAGACGGCGUUUCCCGCUACGUUCUCGGGCCCCUGCACUAUGUGAGGCUAUUCCAGCUCCCUUGGGGCUGGACUCCCGAGCCUUUUUUCUUUGGCAGCAUUCUCCCCAAAUGCCUGGGCACCCUGUUCCCUCCUGAUACUCUGCUUUCCCACCGCUUUGAAGGGCCUUUUCUGGAUGCUCCUUGGGCCCAUGAGGACUCUGUUCACUCUCUGCAGGUUUUUGCCUACACUUUGAACCUUUGCCAGGCUGUUUUCCUGUGGUUGGACAGUUUCUAAUUUCUUUUCAAAUAUUUGGCAUUUAAAUUUGUUACCUAGAAGGCUGGACUGCAUAAGCAUGGCAGUUUUUUCUUCCCUUUUAACUUCAUCGAUUUUUUUCUUGUAUUUCUGCAUCUAACAUCUUUUCUAGCAAAUACACCUUUCUCAAUUUAUUUUCAUAAGUUGAAUUGUUGGAUGCAGGUUGAAACAAGGGGCUCUUUGUAUUGUUUUUCAAAACAGGAGCUUAUCUCCAUCUUGCACAUUUGAAAAAAGCAGUUUAAUGAAUGGUAACAACAUUGAUUCCGCAUCUAGAUUUCCUGCUGAGAAAUAAGGCAAGAUGUAAUUUAGCGCAGUGAUAACAUCACUCUUAUCAUAAGUGUCUAGCUGCUCACUCCCAAAGACUGACAAGUUGAUGCCACUGCUGUCUGAGGCUGCCUCCGGCUCAGUAGUCAGCUCAAUGCUCAUGUGCUUCUUCUGGGCUUGUAACACCUUCAUGAACACUCUUUCUGGAUUCCCUACAGAUGCUUCUUCACCUGUCAAAAAAAAGAGACUGCUUUGAUCAUGAAAGAUAAUGGAACGGCAUGCAUCAGUCCACAGCUGUAUGCCCCAGUCACACAAAGUAGGAGUCAGCAAACAUUAGAGUGCCAUUCAGAGAGGAGAAACACACACCCAAGCCUAAAUCUAUGAAAUGGCAACAACAAAAGGAGGAAAAGACAUCUUUUGAAAAUAUGGCUACUUACUUGGAACAUUCCUAGUGUGACAUAGAGUAACUCUGCUUAGGAUUAUUUCGUUGAUCCCCAGGGGCCAAUUGCCCAGUGCUCAGUCAAAGCCCAAGGUGGAAGACAAGUGCUUCCCUGAUGAGCUGUCCUCUCUGCAGACUGCUCCGUACCCUGUGCUGUCCUGCCUCAGAUGCAGAGAGAGCACAAGCCUCCCUCCUCAUCCUCAGUGUGCCUGUGUUCUUACUACCAUCACAGCUGAAUGCAAUGAAAGGCUAUCCUCUGAGAGGAGCAGGGUGGAGAUGCUAAAGUGGAGGCCCCCUCCCAUUGCUGAUAGAUCCUCAUCUGGCAUGCACUCCACCCACCCACCCCAUUCUCUGCUACCACAUAUCGUAGCCCCAUUAAAGAAGAAGUGACAUGGAAAAAACACUGUGCCCACCCUAGUCCUUUUCUUAAAUUUGGGCAGAGAUCCAGGGUAUAGGUUAAGAGAUUUUUAAUUUGCCAGAUGGUAUGCCUAUGUUGUUAAAUAUACAAUGAAUCUAUGGUAUGAUAGCAGUUUCUGGAUAAACAUUACUUGAGGUCCUAAAAUGCAGAAGGGAAAAAGCAGCUUUUGUCAGAUGCUUACUUUGCUUUCAUUUCAUCUCUAAUAUUUUGGAUGGGGAACCAUCCAAAGCUUCUGGCCGCAUGAAGGUCAAGUGUGCCAGUGUGCAGCUGGGUUUCUUUUCCAGAAUUAAAAGUAUUUUGGGUGGUGCUGAGGGUCAGAGGAAGAAGUAAAAAUUGUGAGAAAGGAGAAACAUGGGCUUGGGGAGAACCCAGAAUUGGGGACAGAAGACCUGGCACUAAGCUAUAGCACUUAGCACCUCUGAUCUUGUUUUUCCUCGUCCGUAAAAGGAGAUUAACAAUGCUUUUCUGCCCACCUCUUGGGGAGAAGGGAAUAAUUUAGUUGGUAAAAAAAAAACUUUUGAAUAAUAAGCAACUCUGUCUUUAUAUAAGUAGCCAAGCAUUAUUAAUUAUCCACCCCAUAUCACUGGUAGAUACCUGUAUUCAAGCUAUGUGGACAUAAAAGCAGUCACAUUUUAGAAGUCAUGAAGUUGGUGCUAAUAAACCUAAUCUACAGAAAAACUCUUGAAAGCACUUGAGCAUUUGUUCUGUGAAUAGAAAGGUUUGAGAUUCAGAGCAAGUUCAGAGUUGGAUGGUCUAAGAAUGGAAAAGCCCUCCAUUCCAUUAGAAGAGCCAGGGAGCAAUUUCUGGUUAUGGAACCAGAAGCUCUCAGGCUUCAAAUAAAACAGCAUCACUUGUACUCUUAUAAAAUUGUAAAAACAAAAACAAAACUGGAUCUACAUUUGUCCUAAAAGGCAGAGAGUACUUGAGACCUCAUGCAUAUAAAACCAGCUUACAAACUACAUCGCACUAUAUGAAGAAAUUAUCACUGGGGGCAAAUCACCAAGUAGGGAGCACAAUACACAGGGUGUGGAUGUUAAUGUCAUUCCCUAGCCUUCUCAUUCCCUUCUCUUGGUCCUUUAUGCAUAUGGAACAGUUCCAUUAUUAAAUUUUGUAAUAAUAACUGAGAACCUGACUCCCAGCAAGGGAGUAGUUCAGAAGUUGAGGGAGUUUAAAUCUGAAUGAGUAAAUAAAGCAAUUAUAUCAUUAGCUUAAAAUUUUAUCAUCAAUUAAAAAUAAAUUUAAAAACAAAUACUUAAAAUAAUGUAACAAUUUAUCACCAGGCAAUUUGGACUCACGACAAUGUGUGGUGUUUGUCAGACAUGCACUGUUGCAAUGCAGCUUGACUGUCUUGCAGACAGCCUCAAUGCUAUUUUUAAAUUGGCAGAGGCAGCAGGCCAUAUGGCUAGGUAAGAUCCUAUAAGAUGAAAACACAAAACAAUAAAUAGUGGUAAAGCAGUUACUUGAGUAGGCAAAGGAGGCAGGCCAACGCUACCACAGGGCUGGGCAGAAAGGUGUUACUGAGGCCUGUGGACUGGACAGUUGGGUAGGAACCAGAAGGGCAAUGGGAAGGAGGACAAAGGUGCCCAACUGAAGGGUAAGCAUGGCAGUGAGUAUGGUAUGCCUAGAAUAAAAGUGGUUGGGAUUAGAAUUGGGUGACACUGAUCAGUAGUUUAAUUCAGAAGUAUCUCUUCCCAACUCAAAAGUCUCACUUUGGGCUGAAAGUACACAGGAAGAAAGUAGACUUCUAAGAAGAGUCUGAAUAAGCCCCCAACUUCUGGAGUCCCUUUCUCAAUUUCUGUUGGCAGUGGGAAAUAUUAGAAAUUACUCUGGGCAUUAAAAAUAGCUCAGUUUAACCUGGAUUGUGGGGUUAAAAAAAUAACAGAUUGCAUUGGCCAAAUCUCGACAAUUUGAGCAUUCAAAAGAGUAACAAUAAGCUACAACAUAAUUAAUAUAUAAAAAAGAAUCCAUGAAGAAUGAUAUUUAAAAAGAGAGGGAGUUGUUCUUUAAUGAAAUAAUGCCAGCUAAUGAAUGUAGAAGGAAUGACAGAAUUUUAAAAAGUGUUACUUUGCAACCACCAAUGUAAUAAAAAUUGAUUCAGACAAGGAUUGUCAUUGAUGGACACAGCUGGGUGAGAAGACAUUUGAGAACAGGAUCUUUACUGAUCUCAAAGUACCACCACACAGAUAUUUUAUUAAUUACCAAAGGGAAAAAUUAUUUUUUAUUUUUUUAUGAGACAAAGUCUCACUCUGUCACCCAGGCUGAAAUACAGUGGCAAAAUCGUAGCUCACAACAGCCUCGACCCCCACCCUGGGCUCAAGUGAGUCUCCAAAUUCAGCCCCCCAAGUAUAUGGGACUAUAGUCUUGUACCACCACACCCAGCUAAUUUUUUUUUUUUUUUUUUUUUUUUUUUGUAUUUUUAGUAGAGACAGGGUUUCACCUUGUUGCUCAGGCUGGUCUAAAACUCCUGGACUCAAGCGAUCUGCCCGUCUCGGCCUUCCAAAGUGCUGGGAUUAUAAGCAUGAGCCACCACACCCAGCAAAAUAACUACAAUGGAGAGAUCUGGAAGAUCACCUUAAACAAGUGAUCAAACUUAGCAUUAUGAGCCACCUGCAAUCACGAGGCAGGAAGGAUAUAUCACCUAUGCAGUAUUUUUCCCAAAAAUGCUUACCUUGAAUCUCAUCAUGUGGAAACAGACAAAUCCAGAUUAUGGGACAAUUUACAAAACAACUAUCUUUGACUCUUAAAAAAUGCCAUGUCAUGAAAGAUCAAAAAAAGUAGAGGAAUGUUUUAGAUUAAAGGAAAUGAAGACAUGACAUGCAGUGCCUAAUCUUUGAUUGGAUUCUGUGCUAUUCUUUCAUCUUUCUGGUAUGUUUGAAUUUUUUUUGAAAUAUAAACUUGGGCAAAAGAGAUAACCAAGAUAAUUGAUUAAUUUAUUGUUAUGGCUCAUUGGGGGCAGUUUCAGAGAAAUAAAAACAAUCUUUGUAACUGGAGUAAAUUCUCAAGGUUAAUCUUAAGCAAUAUAGCAUGGUCAUUAAGAAUACAGAUUCCACAGCCAGACUAGGCUUAAAUCCCAGCUCUGUGAAUAAUGUGAAUUUGGGCACAUUGAUUAAUCUCUGUUCCUUGGCCUUGUCAUUAUAAUAGUACCUACCUCUAAUGAGUUUUGAGGAUUAGAUGAAUCAGUACCUGAAAAAUGCCUGACACACAGUGAGUGCUCAAUAAAUGUUAACUACUGUAAUUAUUACAUUACAGAGGUUGUGGGGGGGCCUUUUCUGAGUCCUCCAAAAGGAUGACUUUAUUAGGGCCACAUUAAGACUGUGGAAACAGAAGAGUAUUCAACAGAUAAAUGAAGUCUAUGAGUUGGGGGUACAAUUUAUGGAGUUUUAGAUUAAAACUGCAUCCAAUAAGUUGGUCUGACACAUCUUUCAAACCUAUAGAGGAAUAAUCACAAGUGACUAGUAUUCCUUUGGGUCCAAUAGAGGUCUCUGAUCUUCAUACAGAUUGAAUGUACCCAGAACCGUAACCUAGCAUUUUACUUAUAUAGCAACCUUAACUCUGACACAAAAGUGUUUCUUUUGUUUUGAGGCCAAGUCUCACUCUGUUACACAGGCUGAGUGCAGUGGUGCAAUCUCACUUCACUGCAGCCUCUGCCUCCUGGGCUCAAAUGAUCCUCCCACCUCAGCCUCCUGAGUAGCUAGAACUACAGGUGAGUGCCACCAUGCCUGGCUCAUUUUUGUAUUUUUUGUAGAGAUGGGGUUUCACCAUGUUGCCCAGGCUGGUCUCAAACUCCUGAGCUCAAGCAACCCUCUCUCCUUGGCCUCCCAAAGUGCUGGGAUUACAGGCAUGAGCCUGAAGUUUAAUUGUUAUUCUUUUCCUGCCCCCGACUUUUGAUUUUAAACAUUUUCUUUUUUUCCUUUAAGCCUUAGGAUGGCUAGGAAGCAUUUUCAGAUGGUAUAAUGAACACCUGUAUAACUUUCAUCUGGAAUCAACAGUUGCUAAUACUUUGCCACAUUUGCUUUCCAUGUGUGUAUGUCUAUACAUUUUCUGGACAAACCAUUUGAGAGUCAGUUGCAGACAAAAUGACCCUUUGCCAUUAAAGACUUCAGUGUGCAGCCCCUAAGAAGCAAGGCAUUCUCCUGCAUAACCAGAGGACUAUCAUCACCCAAUGGAACUUCAUAUUAUCAUUGUCUACUAUGCAGCCCAUAUACACAUUUUCACAAUUGUCCCAAUCAUAACAUGGCUUAAAAAAUUCAGAAUCCAAUCCAACAUCAGACAUUGCAUUUAGCGUUCAUGAUUUUUUUUUUUUUUUUUGUAGAAAGACCUUUAAUACUUCUGUUUACAAAAUUCAGGCAUACAUUUCAGUUUGCCCUGAACCGUGCCCAAGGCUGUGUGCUCAUCUCUGCCAGGAUGUCUGUGCCCUCAUGUACUGCUGACGUGGAGGGUGCAGAGCAGAGCCUGGGGUCUGGAGGCUUCGCUGGGCCUCAGGGGGAGGGGAAUGUGAAUGUGGCCCGGCCCAGAGGACCCUCCAUUUCAUCAGUUUUGGAUUGGGCAACAGAGGAAGCAGAUGUCUGGGCUGCAGACCUGCUGGUCUGGGCAGGGGUUUGGGAACCCCGGGGUUGCCUGCCAUGGUCUAGAGGAGAUGGCUGCGGCUACUUCCCACAGGGUGGGGUGGCCACUAGGGGCUUGAAGAUUUGCUCACUGGAGCCUUUGUGCUUGGCCCUCAGCAGCACAGCUGGGGCUGUGGUCCCGUGCAAGGUGUGCUGAGGGUUGUGUAGGUGGCUGGUGGUGGCAGCUUGUGCCAGAGUGACACAGGCUUCUGUGGGCCUGGCUGGGGGCAGUUAAAAAGCCGAAAAGGUACUUGGCUUUGUGAGGGCAAGGCUUGGGAGGCGGG